AAAUCCUUCUAUCCCCAUUGUUGUACAGAAGAAACCCUUAGGCCUUUAGAAAUGUCGUUCUUUGAUUUAUUAUGUACCAUUGUGACAGAUUCCCUUAACCUGUAUUUUUAAUGGUGCAAGUUACUUAUUAUCAAGCAUGUGAUUCAAUAAUCCCUACUGAUUAAGCAUUUAAUUGAAUUUAGCCUGCUACAGUGGUUAUGGGAUGGUUGCCUGCUGCCCCCAAGUCCACGACAUACACAUAUUAAAGUUGUCCAUAUUUAGGUUCAUGCUUAGCUUUCCAUAAUACUCCAUUGUGUACUCAUCUGCUUGCUUUAUGAUUUUGUUUUGCCAUUUUGUAUAAAUAUCUAGGAGUGGUUUGGUGAUGGGGAUGGAUGCGGUGCCUGACACUCUAACACCAACACCAUUUUCUCAGCUAACUUAGGGACAAAUGAGACAGAGAACAGGCCAGGAAUCUCCAUGUCAGUGUUUUGUCGUCCAUUUCAACGACCCGUUAACAGGAGGCUUGCAUUUAACCCUAUCAAUCCUGCUACUCCAAUAGAUCAACAUUUUGUCUCCUCAUCAGAUGGCCCAACAGUGCCAGGUGUUCAGUCCCUUCCUGCAGUGCGCGGUAAAGGUCCUUUGGAUAAUAUUGGUUUGAGACUGCCUCGACCAGAUCCAUCUAUUGCUACGGAAGCACGCAAGAAGCGUAAAGUCACAAUGGUUUUAAGGAGAGGACAUAAGUUACCCAUAUCCAAUAUUUUCUCCUUCAACUAACUGGCUUAUUUGUUGCUUCCAUUGGUUCCUACAUUUCUAUUUGAUUUCGUUCAGCAAGUGCUGAUUCGACCAAUCUAUAGCUCCUCAAUUUGUGAUUGUUACAUUAGGAGCUGGACCUGAUGAUUUCUCAUCUUCAUAUCGAUGUGUUCAACGAUGUAUUUCCCCACAAGUUAAUGCCAGGCAUUGUGAUGUGCGGAUAGCCAGGAAUAAUGGGAUGAGUACUACUAUUGGCGCUUCUCCUUCAUCUCACAUUGCCCAAAAUGACACCUCCUUGCAUAGGGUGAAUACAUGUCAACGAAGCCGUGUAGGGCGGUCCAGAGCUGAUGGAAAUUUUGUACCCCUUCUUGCCAGUCGACAUCGCCCUGAUCAUGAUGCUGCUCGAUAUUCAGGCUCAACCUCCACAGUUCAUGUUCCGAAGUAAUUUUUGCUGCUCAACACUAAUGUUCUAUCUCGAUGAUCGUAAAGCUUCUCGACAAUAAUACUCCACCCAAUGAUCUUUUUUCUAUGGUACUAUUUUCACACCUCUCAAUUUAGGAGGCCCUACCCAUACUUGCCAACAUUGUGGUGCUCGAUUCUGGUAUGAGGAACGCGUACGUGGGUGUGGACGAACAGCUUUGCAAAUUUACAACAAAUGCUGUAGAGGAGGGAGCAUUUAUUUGCCUCCAUAUAGGCCACCACCAGAACCUUUGCUCUCUCGUUUAACUGGACGAGAUCGUGUUUUGUCCAACCACUUCUUUGAAAACAUCAGACGAUACAAUUCUAUGUUUGCUAUGACAUCUAUGGGUGUAAAUAUCAUCAACUCAAUUAAUGAUGGUCAUGGCCCUUACAUUUUCAAGAUUAGUGGGCAGCUAUGCCACCGAAUUGGAUCGCUUAUUCCAAAGCAUGGUGCAAGACCAGAAUAUUGUCAAUUAUACAUAUUUGACACUGAGAAUGAAAUAAGAAAUAGAGUGGCUGUUGCUUCACAUAGAGAGAUGAGUUUUGAACCAAAUGAGGAUAUUGUUGCAUCUUUGAUGACCAUGCUCAAUGCACACAACCCAGUUGUUCAGCUCUUUCGAACUGCUCGUGAUAGGCUGCAUGAUCAGUUAGAGGAUCAUUACUCAGUGAAGUUAUUUGCCACCCCCAAUGAACAUGGUAAUAUCUACUCAGCCCCAGUUGCAUCAGAGGUGGUUGGUUUGAUGGUUAAUGAUAUAGGCACUACCGAGAAAGGUCGUGACUUAAUAGUAGAGGAUCACUCAUUGCAGCUUCAAAGGGUAAAUGAAACUCAUUGCAAAUUUAUGGCAAUGCAAUACCCGCUAUUGUUUCCUUAUGGAGAGGAUGGUUUUCAUGAAAAUCUCAAGUAUAGACAAUGUCACCGCUCAGGAAUGAUCAAACGGAAGAAAGUUAGUUUGGUAGAAUACUUUGCAUAUAGAUUGCAUGAUAGAGAUGAUGACUUCAACACCCCAUUGCGUGCAAGAGCUCACACAGUCAUAUGAGGUUGAUGGUUUUUGUUGUGUCAAGGAUAGCCGCUUGAACCAUUAUAGGAAAAAAAAAACUUUUCAGCUGAAGUAUAGGAGUAGCCCCUAUAAAGCUUUACUUGAUACAGUCAGUAGCGGCAUUAUUGAUGCUUCAUCGGUAGGCCAGAGGAUUAUUUUGCCAGGUUCAUUCACUGGAAGUCCACGCUAUUACUACCAAAAUUACCAAGAUUGUGUGGCUCUCUGUCGUAGAUUUGGAUGCCCGGAUCUUUUCAUCACUUACACGUGUAAUGCUGCUUGGCCAGAGAUAACAGAAGCUUUAGCAUUUAUACCAGGACAACAACCUUCUGAUCGGCCCGAUAUUGUUGAUCGAGUUUUUGAAAUGAAGCUCAAGCUGUUUGUUGAUGAUAUAAAAAAAAUAUGAGUUCUUUGGUCCCAUACUCGGAAGUUAGCUCGUUUAAUUACUAUGUUUUAAUUCUUAUGUUUUAAUAUGAGUUCUUAUGUUUUAA